rnacentral:ncRNA from 2 species
UGAAAUGAUAGAGGUGCGAUAUUCAUCAGUACUCCGGGACAAGUGGCAGGACAGUCGUUUUGGAGAAAAGGGAAGAUCGCCGAAGAGUAUAUUCCGGUCCAUGGAAUUAGCUCUGGGACGCAGCAGAAUAUGUUGCGGACUGUCACUGAUAUGUGGAGCGCUAUCUGAAGU